GUCAUUAAAUAUUUUUUGUAUUGCUGACGGCGAAAAAAUAGAGCUACUGAAAAAACGGAGAAAACUGAGGAAAUUGAAGCACAUUAAAGAUGCUUAUCGAAACUAAUCACAGAGCUCGGAUUAUAACUAAUCGGAUGCACGGGGAAUUAAUCUAUUGCUUGCCACCAACAAAAUCGUUCGGCAGCAGGCCACAUCAGAAUUAAGUCACCCCUCUGCCGACGUACAUUCAUCUCGUAUUGAAUGACCUUUGAGGAUCGAUAGCUGUCGGACGAACUCGUCUACGCUGGCCCUGGUACUCUGUAUAGACCAUUAACCCUCCGUGUUACAGCUUCCUCUAUGUACCGCAUAGUACACGGCGAAUCUAUUUCCAUUUACAGCAAACUUGUGGAAGUUUCGGCUAAUGCCAGAGCACCAUCAAUCGAAGUAAUAAACGCUUUCGACCGAGGCGAACCUGUAUCGUCUACAAUAUGCGUGAAAAAUGACCAACAAUUUUAGAUAAUGCAAAUCCAAACCACGAAAGUAAAUAAAUAAAAUUAAAACAGAAUAGUUAACUUGAAAUA